CCUACGGGUGGCAGCAGUGGGGAAUAUUGCACAAUGGGGGAAACCCUGAUGCAGCGACGCCGCGUGAGUGAAGAAGUAUCUCGGUACGUAACGCUCUAUCAGCAGGGAAGAAAAUGACGGCACCUGACUAAGAAGCUCCGGCUAACUACGUGCCAGCAGCCGAGGUAAUACGUAGGGGGCAAGGGUUAUCCGGAUUUACUGGGUGUAAAGGGAGCGUAGACGGCAGCACAAGUCAGGAGUGAAAUCUCGGGGCUUAACCCCGGAAUUGCAUUGGAGACUGUGAGGCUGGAGUGCAGGAGGGGUAGGCGGAAUUCGUGGUGUAGCGGUGAAAUGCGUAGAUAUUAGGAGGAACACCGAUGGCGAAGGCGGCUUACUAAACUGUAACUGACGUUGAGGCUCGAAAGCGUGGGGAGCAAACAGGAUUAGAUACCCGUGUAGUC
rnacentral:rRNA from 1 species